AGCUCCAAUAGCGCAUAUUAAAGUUGUUGCAGUUUAAAAUCUCGUAGUUGGGUUUCUGGUGGGAGGGAUCGGUCAUGUAUCCUUUGUUGGAGCUUGUCUCCUCUCUGGCCACCCUUGGGUGGAUCUUGUCUUGCAUUGGUUUAUCAAGCAGGGGAUGAUCAUCGUUUACUGUGAAAAAAAUAGAGUGUUCAAAGCAGGCUUAUGCCAUUAAAUAUAUUAGCAUGGAAUAAUAAGAUAGGGCCCUGGUAUUAUUUUGUUGAUUUGUGUGUCAAGAUAAUGAUUAAUAGGGAAAGUUGGGGGUAUUUUUAUUCAGUAUACAGUGGUGAAAUGCUUAGACCUACGGAAUACAAACUACUGAAAAAGCAUUUACCUAUGGAUGUUGUCA
rnacentral:rRNA from 1 species